rnacentral:rRNA from 1 species
UACGUAGGGGGCAAGCGUUGUCCGGAUUUAUUGGGCGUAAAGCGCUCGCAGGUGGUUCGUCGCGUCGUGCGUGAAAGACCCCGGCUCAACUGGGGAGUGUCGUGCGAUACGGGCGAACUCGAGGCCAGUAGGGGGAUGCGGAAUUCCGGGUGUAGUGGUGGAACGCGUAGAGAUCCGGAGGAACACCAGCGGCGAAGGCGGCAUCCUGGACUGGUCCUGACACUCAUGAGCGAAAGCGUGGGGAGCGAUCCGG